GAUGAACGCUGGCGGCGUGCUUAACACAUGCAAGUCGAACGAUGAAGCCCAGCUUGCUGGGUGGAUUAGUGGCGAACGGGUGAGUAACACGUGAGUAACCUGCCCUUAACUCUGGGAUAAGCCUGGGAAACUGGGUCUAAUACCGGAUAGGAGCGUCCACCGCAUGGUGGGUGUUGGAAAGAUUUAUCGGUUUUGGGUGGACUCGCGGCCUAUCAGCUUGUUGGUGAGGUAAUGGCUCACCAAGGCGACGACGGGUAGCCGGCCUGAGAGGGUGACCGGCCACACUGGGACUGAGGAACGGCCCAGACUCCUACGGGAGGCAGCAGUGGGGAAUAUUGCACAAUGGGCGCAAGCCUGAUGCAGCGACGCCGCGUGAGGGAUGACGGCCUUCGGGUUGUAAACCUCUUUCAGUAGGGAAGAAGCGAAAGUGACGGUACCUGCAGAAGAAGCACCGGCUAACUACGUG
rnacentral:rRNA from 1 species